AGUGAACGCUGGCGGUAGGCCUAACACAUGCAAGUCGAACGGCAGCACAGUAAGAGCUUGCUCUUACGGGUGGCGAGUGGCGGACGGGUGAGGAACACAUCGGAAUCUACUUUUUCGUGGGGGAUAACGUAGGGAAACUUACGCUAAUACCGCAUACGACCUACGGGUGAAAGCAGGGGAUCUUCGGACCUUGCGCGAUUGAAUGAGCCGAUGUCGGAUUAGCUAGUUGGCGGGGUAAAGGCCCACCAAGGCGACGAUCCGUAGCUGGUCUGAGAGGAUGAUCAGCCACACUGGAACUGAGACACGGUCCAGACUCCUACGGGAGGCAGCAGUGGGGAAUAUUGGACAAUGGGCGCAAGCCUGAUCCAGCCAUACCGCGUGGGUGAAGAAGGCCUUCGGGUUGUAAAGCCCUUUUGUUGGGAAAGAAAAGCAGCAGGUUAAUACCCCGCUGUUCUGACGGUACCCAAGGAAUAAGCACCGGCUAACUUCGUG
rnacentral:rRNA from 1 species